rnacentral:lncRNA from 1 species
AUUGUCUCCAAAGUUGGACUUUUGCCACUGGUUCUGCGACUUCAUGCAAUGCCAGGGAGAGCCCCUUGAUUUCCCCCAAAUCCUCAUCAGCCUCUUUCCACCCAAGCCCAGAUGAACAGUGUGAGUAAAAAAGAGUGUGGUUGCUGCGUGAACCCAGAUCUCAGACUAGUCAUCCAGCCCCAUUAUGUAGGACUCAGACACCCCUGUCCACAUCUAACCUCCAGCCCUAACGCCACAUUAGAAAUGGGGGUCUUACUGCUGCUGUCACUCCUAGUCACCCUGUUAAAUUCUAUACCGGUUUACCCAAGUCGCCCAGAGACUGGGCCCCACUUACAUAAGCUGAAGAGACCAGCUGCUUUAAUAGCCUCAUUACCUAGGAUAUAGGAUCACUGUCCAACCUCACUCCACAGUGGGCAAGUUUUUACUUCAGAAUAACUUUUGAAAUAAAUUUCCCCGGAACAGCUCGCCCCUCUCAACAGGACUCUGAGGCUCCACUACGUUGCUGUUAUUCCUGACAGAGUGAUGAAAGGAAAUUUAAACAAGUGGCAUUUUGUAAAACCACCCCAGCCUGUGUGACUUUCAAUGCCUGUCCGAUUUGGCUGGGAAAAUAUUUUAGAUCCCCAGGGCUACAUACUGUUUUUUAUACCCUCCUCUUUGUGUCAGUGAUGGAAAAGGUGUCAAUCUGCUCUGAAUCUCUCUGAACACCUCAGGAAAUAGGCUUUUGGCUCGCAGAGAGGGGAUGAGAAAUAGUUUUGAACCACCAAGUCUCUUGGAGGGUGUCAGCAGCCCCUUGAAGUAAAAGUGUGGCUGCAAACCCAGCUCUCUGCAUUAGCCAGGUGAACCUGAGCAUGCUGCAUACACCCUCAGUCUUGGUUUCUUAAUAUGUAAAAUGGGAAUGAAUAUGCGCACCUCGUGGGGUGGUUGUGAUUAAAGGCAUUCAUUAUAAAGAGCUUAGUUUCAUACAAAGUGAUCAGAAGUGUUGGUUUCCCUCCUUAAGUUUUCUUCUCAUUCCUUUUUCCCCUGCGCUUACAGCCAUGCAGUGUACAUUCAAGAAAUUUCCAUGAGGGCAUGAGGUGUCCAGUGUUAGCCUCAAAUCAAGCAUCCACGAGGUAGUUAGUGUAUACAUUAUAUACAUUUAAAGAGGAGGUCUUAGGAAAAGCCAAACCCUGUCUCAAAAUGAGCUUCCACUCUCACCUGGAUGCCAAGUAACACACACACACAAACAAAGGGCAGUAUGGAGUUCACAAGGGAAUGUUCCCGUUUAACUGGAGUCAGCUGAGCUGGAUUCUAGUCCAAUUUCUGCCAGUUAUUCCCUGUGUGACCCAUGUGAUAAAAUGUAUAGAAGGCUUAAAGUGUGCCAAGCAUUGUGGAUUAUAGCACUUAAUUCUCACACUGAUCCAUAUGGUUACUCCUGCUAUUAUCCCCAUUUUACAGAUGAGCAAACUGAGAGAGGUUACAUAACUUGACUCAGGUCACAGUAAAUACAUGGUGGAGCCAGGCUUUGAGACCAGGUAGUAUGAUUCCAGAGCCCACACCUUCCCUGCUGCAUCAUACUAAAUGGGGGCAAGUCACUUAGCCUCUGGGCCUCAGUUUUUCUCAUCUGAACAGAAAGGGGGCCAGACUAGGCGCCACCCAGGGCUCCUUUCAGCUCCAACUUUCUAUACAUCUACUAAGAAAAUUACAUAUGGAUGCUAAAUAAGUUAGGCCCAGGGUGCUUUUAAGAGAAACGUCAAAGUGGAUAGGGUUGCUUCAUUUCCCAGGGGUGGAAAGCCACUAAAAUAUUUCUUCUGUGUUCCUGGUUCCAAUUUGCCACUCAAAAAGCCAAACAAAGAAAUCAUCCCCCAGAGUUCCAUUCCAAUUGAUUUAGAUCCCUGAGGCUAAUUUUGACCAAAAUGGAAGGAGAAGCAGAAGGUGUGGAAACCCAUGGCUUUCUGCACAACAGAUACACAUGAUGAGAAGUCUGUAUUCUCUUACACACAUAUACACACACACACACACACACAACCAGUGUUCAUAUCGCCUUCCACUGAAGCUCAUACCAGUUCCUCUAGCCAAGUUGUCAUGGCAACACCAGCUGCCAAUGAGAUCAUGGAAGACAAGGUCAUAAUGGCAAUGGUGCCUUAAUAUUUUACCUGGCAAAGCCACUUAGUUAUUAAGAUGAAUAACCAUAAGUCAUAAACUCAUAGGAAGCUAGGCACCAUUCAUGUACAUGUUUAGUGUACAAUUGGGGGUGGGGAAUGGAAAUGACAGCGAAGGGAAAGGAACAAAAAGGAAGAGAGGAUGAGGCAGAGAGCGGAGAAGAAGGUCUCUGAUGCUGAUCCUUAUUUUUCAGUGUGGACCAUGCACAGGUGCUGACCCUACCUGUACAUGGAUUAAGGAACUGGGCUCUUCCUAAUGACAAGAAGUGGGGGGCGGGUCAUGGGAUCCCAGCCUCAAUCACAAAAGCCUUAUCAGAAACCCAAGGCGACUGCUUUCUGGCAUUCACUCCUAGCAGAAGAGAGCAGCAGCACAGGGAAGAGGAGAAGGGCCACCUACACAGGCGGGAGAGGGAUGCAGACGCAAGGUGAGAACUGGGAUAGAGAGUCAGAAGGCCCACAUUCAGCUCUGAGGCAUCUUCAGAAAAGACACUUUACCUCCGUGAGCCUCAGUUUCCCCUCUACAGAGGAGCAUAACUGUACAGUCCUCACAGCAUUGUAAUGAGAGUGAAAUAAAGAAAAUUUUCUCUUAUUUAACAAAUGCUCUACCUACUAUGUGCCAAGCACUGUUUUAAUCUCCUUACCAAUGAAAACGAGGCACAGAGAGUUUCAGUGGCACAUCCAAGAUCACACGCAUCUGGAAAGGGGCAGAGCCAGGAUCCCAGCCUGACGGUCUGGGUCCAGAUGCCACAUGCUUAACCCCUUCUCUGUAAGGACGAGGGACAUGUCCCAUGGUGGUGUCUCCUCAUUUCUUCUUUUAGUAACUUCUGUGGGACUGGAAAUUUCCACUACUGUCCCCUCCCCUUUUUCGGUUGGUUGAUUUGUUCUUGGGUGUGACAGGGUAGCUUAUAAUUCCCACAGUUUUUUCUACCAGGAUUCCUCCCACUCCCAAACCCCUAAGCCAGUGGCACUCAGAGCUGGAUGCUGAGCACUGCAGUCACUAAGAGUGAGACUGGGUUUGCAGCCUGGCCCUGCAUAUGCAGACAAUGACCAAAUGACCCCGCACUGGCCAGCUAUUUAAUAUUGAGCGACUGUGGAGGCUUGGGAGGACUGAGGAAUACAUUACUUAUUUUUAUUUUUGACUAUGGUAAAAUACACACAACAUAAAAUUUACCAUUUUAACCAUU